rnacentral:piRNA from 1 species
ACUGUCGGCCAGGAGAAGAAAGG